CAGCAGCCGCGGUAAUACCGGCGGCCCGAGUGGCGGCCACUAUUAUUGGGCCUAAAGCGUCCGUAGCCGGGCUGGUAAGUCCCCCGGGAAAUCUGGCGGCUUAACCGUCAGAAUUCCGGGGGAUACUGCCAGCCUAGGGACCGGGAGAGGCCGGGGGUAUUCCCGGGGUAGGGGUGAAAUCCUGUAAUCCCGGGAGGACCACCUGUGGCGAAGGCGCCCGGCGGGAACGGGUCCGACGGUGAGGGACGAAGGCCAGGGGAGCGAACCGGAUUAGAUACCCGGGUAGUCCUGGCUGUAAACGAUGCGGGCUAGCUGUUGGGUGGGCUUAGAGCCCACCCAGUGGCGCAGGGAAGCCGUUAAGCCCGCCGCCUGGGGAGUACGGCCGCAAGGCUGAAACUUAAAGGAAUUGGCGGG
rnacentral:rRNA from 1 species